rnacentral:rRNA from 1 species
UGUCCCAGCCGCCGCGGUAAUACAGAGGGCGCGAGCGUUAAUCGGAUUUACUGGGCGUAAAGCGCGCGUAGGUGGCUAAUUAAGUCAAAUGUGAAAUCCCCGAGCUUAACUUGGGAAUUGCAUUCGAUACUGGUUGGCUAGAGUAUGGGAGAGGAUGGUAGAAUUCCAGGUGUAGCGGUGAAAUGCGUAGAGAUCUGGAGGAAUACCGAUGGCGAAGGCAGCCAUCUGGCCUAAUACUGACACUGAGGUGCGAAAGCAUGGGGAGCAAACAGGAUUAGAUACCCUGGUAGUCCAUGCCGUAAACGAUGUCUACUAGCCGUUGGGGUCCUUGAGACUUUAGUGGCGCAGUUAACGCGAUAAGUAGACCGCCUGGGGAGUACGGCCGCAAGGUUAAAACUCAAAUGAAUUGACGGGGGCCCGCACAAGCGGUGGAGCAUGUGGUUUAAUUCGAUGCAACGCGAAGAACCUUACCUGGUCUUGACAUAGUGAGAAUCUUUCAGAGAUGAGAGAGUGCCUUCGGGAAUUCACAUACAGGUGCUGCAUGGCUGUCGUCAGCUCGUGUCGUGAGAUGUUGGGUUAAGUCCCGCACGAGCGCACCCUUUUCCUUAUUUCCA